AUCGUCUUGUUUAAUGUAGACUUUCAAGAAGAUAAUUUUAUUAAAACUCGAAUUUUUUUAUUAGUGUGAUAAUGAAUUUGUUCUUUCUCGAAUUGAAUUAAAAUAUAAUACAAUCGUUCUAUUUGUUUCACAACAAUUUGUCGAUUUGAUGAAGAUACAUAUUUUCUUCAUAUUCCCGAUACAUCUCCAAGUAUUUUCUUGCGGCAUUUUUGUUUUUGGGUGAAGCCCGCAGAAAGGAUUUCAUCGGUGCGAUAGGCGGUUAAGCAUGGUGAAGAACACGUCUUCAUUUUAGCGGUCAGGAGGUGCUGGUGACAUUCCAGGGAUCCGCAACGCGAACUGAGCGGAAAGGACGCGACCCUAUCCCCGGCCGCAAUGGCACAAGGAGAUCGACGUCCUGGAGGGCGUCGCCGUCCUCGCCGUCCUCAUCGUCCACGUCGUGUGGGUCCGAGCGUUCCGGACAUAGCACCGCGUCCCCGCUAUCGGUUAGGGUUUUGCUGCCGCGCGACCCGAGUUUUUCGUGCGGCUCUUCUCUGGCGGUAACUCGAGGCCAGGCAAGUCAGGAGUGCAUUACACGCAAUUAGACGCCAGGGUGGCCCCAAGGUAUGUCCGACAAACGGCCCUCCUCUUCAUCUCCCCCUACUACAUUGCGUCGCACCGUUUUCCUUCUCGUUCCUCUCUUCGUCGCUUCCAUCACUACAUGGUUCACCCUGCACUCGUUUCCCCUCGGUGACCCCUUUCGGGCCAUUUUUCUUUUUUGUAUUAUAAUAUCUUGCAGAAACAUAACAAUUUUAUAAUUUUAUUCUAAUAAUUUAUUUUGCUCUAUAGAUUUCCAAAGUUAAUUUUACACUAAGAAUAAUACUAAUAUGAUUUGUCUUCUAUUUUUAUAUUAUUCAUUUGUAACAGAAAAUAUAUAUUUGAAUAAUAUGUUUUGAAAAGUAUUCUAUAAAAAAAAUAUCAGCUCUAUAUUCUUAUAUUAAAUUAUAAAUUGGCAUCCAGCAUUAAAUUAAAUGAUAUCAAACAUUCAAUAGUUUCAAUGCAAAGCUUUAACAAUAAGUAAGGGUGUGGUAUGCGUGUCGUGAUUAAUCCUGUGUCUGCAAAAAUAAGCGGCUAAUUAAAUUUGUUUGUGUGCGAACACAUGUUUCACUCUCUUACAAAUAGUCAAUGGAGGCUGUGACUAUCGUCAAACAGCAUGGCGCAUCGUCGCGUAAGAGUGAGACACAGGCUAUGUUGAAGGGAAAGAAGAAGAAGAGACUGAAUGGGGAGGGUAGCGAAGGGAAAGACAACUCACGUACAUAAGAACCAGUGGCACCGUUUAAUACGGGAAACACUGGCGCACUUUAAGUGUAAUUACCAUUGGCGUAAUUAAUUUAGCUAAAGAGCCGGCAUUAAUUUACUGCGCGUGUUUGAUCUUUCUUCUCUUUUGAUGCUCCUCUUUUCUUUGUCUGCGUUUAAAGUGAAGCUGUGCACGUCAAGUUUUCUUCUUCCGGAACUCGCAUCUUUAUAUUUUUUGCUUCUUCUUUCGUUUCAAUGCUUUCUCAACUAUGUUAUGUAUUCAAACGUAACAGAUAAAUUUUGAAAAAAUUUCUUCUUUCCACUGCAGCAAUCAAAUGUUAUUUCUUAUAGUUUUAAUCUAUGCGUAUAUUUUAAAAAAUUUUGUUUUUACAUUUUAUCUAUUUUAGAUUUUAUUCCACUUCCUGUUCUUUACGAUUAUCAUGUUUUUAUUAUUAGUAAGCAUGAUAGCAAACGGCUUUGCUAAUGUCUCAUUUUUUAUGCAUAUAUACCGGAAAACAAUCACAGUGAUAACACAGCGAAGUCAUGCGAAUGUCCGCUUUGUCACAAAGUGAUAUUAUUCUAUGACAGUCUUUUUUUAUUACAACUGCAUAAUAUCAUGACGAAAUCACUCUGUGAUAAAGCGAACAUUUAGUCAUAUCACUGUGACUUCUUGCUGUGAAUAUUAUCUGUUAAAAACCAAUCUUGUAAUACUUUCAUGAAUAGUCUUCUGGUUUGAUCUAGAUCAUAUAAUUUUUCCUUCGAAAAUGUAAAGCAUUGCAACAAUGUUUGUUUCAAACGUAAUCGCCAAAAGACGUGAUAAAGAACUAAUCGACACUAUGCGUUUAAGGGGCGCGAUCGCAGAGUCCAUUGGUACUGGUUGGUGGUCCAAUUAGUGUAGCAUCCGAACGUACGCGGGGUGGUUGAGCAAUUGUCGCAGUUGAGUCGCCAUAUAAAUUUCUCAGUACGAGCCGGUACGAGCAUCGGUAGGCCGGUCGCCUGGGCUAACUGUGCACACACAGUGAACUUUCUUGCGUGGUCGCGCAGUGCUCACCGCCGGCUCGGUCGCUAAAGGAUAUUAAACGCCUUCCUUGUAGGCUGACCGAUGAUUGCACCGACGACAGUUACUAUCUGGAAACUGCCGCCUCGUGCAAAACGGCAGGAGCACAGAAUGGCUAUACAGUUAAACGUCGCUUAGCAACAAGGUUGCCUUUGGAGCAACGUUGAACGACGUGUUCACCCUGUGUUCUCACGUCUUUGUUACCUACUCAGAUGAUAGCGAUGAUUUGCAAGUGAAAAUGUUUACUAAAAAACUUAUUAGUAUAUUAAGACAAUUAAAUAGACUUUGUCUAAUAGUAAUUUUACACAUAUAUCUUUGUAUUGUUUUAGGUGAUUGUGAAUCUUUGCAUUUUUUAAAUUAAAUAUAUUAUCGCUCUUGUUAAUCUGUACCUACACAGAAUUAUUUUUUGUUAUAUACAUUUUGAAAUCGACGGAUUAAUUUAUGGUUGUAUGUGCAUUACGUAUUACAGAAUCUAAUGGCAUUGAAAGUUUUUAUAGCUGUUUAAUUUUGAAAUAAGCAAAUAACAGUAAAAUCUUUCGAGAAUUGACUUGGCAAUGACUAUGCAUAGAAAAUUUGUACCCAACAUUAUAUAUCUCUGCUAUUAGGUACCAUUUAUUGUACAAGUGAAUCUUUUAUUAGAAACAUAAAUGUCAAUACAAUUACUAAUAUAAAUUACAUAUAGCUAACUCAUUAUCUAAUGACGUAAAAAAAAUGUAGGAGAGAAUACUCUGAUUCUUCUGAAUAGAAAAAAAUGCUGCUUUGCGUAGGAGUAUCUGGCUUUUAGCCAAAGAUUGCUCUUCUGUUGGCUACUUGGCUAGUCGUUUGCAACUGACUCGGCGAAUAGCUUUUGGUUAUCCUAAAACCACUUACAGCACCGCGAAAAGUUAUUGUAAGUUGACAGAUCUGAGUGCAUUUCGUGAUAGGUGACGACAAUUCGCGUACGGUGUGCUAAGCUGUUAUUUGAUCCUCUGAUUUCAUAGUCUCGUGAUAUUUGAUAUUUUUUCGCAUAUCAUGGAAGAGGAUAUUAAUUCAAUAAAAAAAUGCAAUCAUCAAAGUUGUAAAAAUGAAGAAAAGCCUAGUAUGAGACAACUUUUUAGAGACGCUUGGCGUAGAAUAAAAAUGAUAAGUGGUGGAAGCAAUC